AGGAUGAAAUUUGCACACACUACAACUCAUCAUCUCCACCGUCGCACCGUUGCACAACCUUGAGUCUGUCGGAGCACUGCCACACCACUUUCACUCUGCCGGAGCACCUCCAUCUCGCCUGAUUCUCCGACGCCACCUUGAAAAUGACCUGUUGUUGAUUUCAUGAUGUUUGACUGUUUUUUAUUCAAAUACAAGUAUGGUUAGGGUUGCAGGUCUAGGUGCGGGUUGGGUUGGGCUUUUUUUCAGAACACAAAGGUUGGGUUUGGCUAUUUAUACAUGGCAGUAGAUGUAUUUCCAGUAGAUACCUAAGAGAAGUUUAGAUUAGGAGAAGUAGAGGUGCACAAAUCGGGUUUUUGGCUCAAACUGGUUCGGUUGAAACCUUGUGGGGUUAGCUCAAAGAAAGUCAAACCCGGUUUUUGGUGAAAUAGCUUCGGGUUCUGACCUGGCUUUUUAGGGGAAAGGCUCAGGUUUGACCGGUUUGAAAUCGGGUACUGGUUUGGUUCGGGCUUGACCGGCUUGAAAUUGGGUAAUGUUUUUUACCGAAUCUGCAUGAAAACAUAAUGUUCAUUUGAUAUUUUGACAUAUAAUAAAGAAGAUAGUAAUGAAAUUGGGUAAUGUUUUGACCGGUUUGUUUUGUUUUCAUUUUUUCAACCUUUCAUACUCAUAGUCAAUUAACCCGAACAAAAGUGAUACUUUGUAGUGACAUGUACUCAGAAUGGCCCGUUUUAAUACGUGUACAAAAGUAUGUCAGGCUUAGACGGGUCGAGUCAUUUCAUCAAACCGGGCCAUAAACAGAUACCUUUCGGUUAGUACAACCACUCGAUUGUCCC
rnacentral:lncRNA from 1 species